UAGGGAAUCUUCGGCAAUGGACGAAAGUCUGACCGAGCAACGCCGCGUGAGUGAAGAAGGUUUUCGGAUCGUAAAACUCUGUUGUUAGAGAAGAACAAGGACGUUAGUAACUGAACGUCCCCUGACGGUAUCUAACCAGAAAGCCACGGCUAACUACGUGCCAGCAGCCGCGGUAAUACGUAGGUGGCAAGCGUUGUCCGGAUUUAUUGGGCGUAAAGCGAGCGCAGGCGGUUUCUUAAGUCUGAUGUGAAAGCCACCGGCUCAACCGGGGAGGGUCAUUGGAAACUGGGAGACUUGAGUGCAGAAGAGGAGAGUGGAAUUCCAUGUGUAGCGGUGAAAUGCGUAGAUAUAUGGAGGAACACCAGUGGCGAAGGCGGCUCUCUGGUCUGUAACUGACGCUGAGGCUCGAAAGCGUGGGGAGCAAACAGG
rnacentral:rRNA from 1 species